rnacentral:rRNA from 1 species
UACGUAGGGGGCAAGCGUUGUCCGGAUUUACUGGGCGUAAAGAGCGCGCAGGCGGUCGUUCAAGUCGCGUGUGAAAGCCCCCGGCUCAACUGGGGAGGGUCACGCGAUACUGAUCGACUCGAAGGCAGGAGAGGGUAGUGGAAUUCCCGGUGUAGAGGUGAAAUUCGUAGAUAUCGGGAGGAACACCGGUGGCGAAGGCGGCGACCUGGGUAGAUACUGACGCUGAGGUGCGAAAGCGUGGGGAGCAAACAGG